GUCACUGAAGGGGCAGUUAGGAACUAACUGACAUUGCCUCUCUGGAAAAAGACAGAGAAGGAGUAGAGGUCUCUCUCCCUGGAGGAAAAACAACUUUGGAGCUGCCAGGAAAUUGGACCAUCUUCAAGGAAAGGUCAGCUCUAACACAACUUUAAUCCUCAAAGUUUUCUAGUGAUGAAUAAAGUGGGGAUAAGGAAGAAGAGAGAGAAAAAAAAGGAGGGUUCAGGAUGAGACAAAAGAAAAAAAAGGAGAAAAAAAGAAGGAUAAGAGAAACUCCAGACAGUAUCUCAGUUCUCUAUAACUAUAAAAGAUCACAAAUUAAGAAUGGAUCUUAAAAAUCACCUAGUGCCAACAGCAAGAAUGUGAUAGAGCCCGCUCUACUGGAGAGCCAAUUGUUACAUUUUCAGUUGUGGAAGACUUGACUGAUCUCCAUUGAGAAGCAACAGAUGGAAAAGCCCACCCAACUGCUUGUCAUGAUCUAGACAAUAUGGAUCCUUCAUCUAUAUUUUGAAUUUCCAGUGUGAAGAUUUGUUUAAUAUAUGUUAUGGGGAAAUGGAUCUCAUUGUAUAUGAGCUAUGUGAGCUCAGGUGGUAUGAAAAUGCUAAAAUUACUGGUAUUCUUUCAAUUUGUUUGCUCAUCUAUAUGCAGAUCCAUGAAAAAUAGAUGAUUUGUAAGAGAAAAUUAAAAAUUAAACUUGCUUAAAACUAUGACUAAAAGAAAAGCAGAUUACAAAGUGAUAGAAACACUGGUGUACAGGGGAAAGAAUAUUAUUCUUCAAAUUCAAAGAUCUGAGUUCAAUCUUGACACUAGACAAGACACUUAUCUUCUCAGAAGCUGUUUCCUUACUGUAAAACAGAGAUAAAAAUACUAGCACUGUCUACCUCUCAAGGCUAUUGUAAGGAAAGUGCUUUGUAAACAUUUAAGUGCUAUACCCCAUCUGUUGCCAAAUCCCAUUGAUGGUAUCUUCAUAACAUCUCUUAAAUAUGCCCCCUUCUCUCCUCUGACACCACCCACCAUCUUGGUACUGGUCCUCAUCACAUCACACCUGGCCUAUUUCAGCAGCUUGCUGGUUGGUCUCAACUCUCAAGUCUCUGUCCACUAUAGUGCAUCUUCAACUCAGAUGUCAAAAUGAUCUUCAUAAAGCACAGCUCUGACUGUAUCACCCUAAUACUGAACACUCUAGUGGCUCCCUUGCACUUCAAGGACCAAAUAUAAAAUGCCCUGUUCAGUGUUCUAAGUCCUUUGUAACCUGUCCCUCCACCACCAUGUUUCCAGUCUUUAAAAAAAUUAAACCCUUACCAUCUGUCUCAAUAUCAAUUCUAAGACAAAAGGGCUAGGGCCAGGCAAUCAGGGAUAAAUACUACUUGUUCAGGGUCACAUAGCUAGGCAGUAUCUGGCUCUAGAUUUGAACCCAGGUCCUCCUGACUUCAGGCCUGGUCCUUUAUGCACUGAACUACCUUUUCCAUCUCCUUACACAUUGCUCACCCUGACUCUGGGAUCCAGUUACACUGGCCUCUUUGGUGUUCCUCCCAUGAGACAACCCAUCUCCUGACUGGCUGUUUCCCACACCUAGAAUCCUCUCCCUUCUCAUCUUUGCUUUCUGGUUUCUCUGGCUUCCUUCAAAUCCCAGAAAAAAUUCCUUCAUCUACAAGAUAACUUUCCUGAUUCCCCUUAAUGCUACUGCUUUCCCUUUGUUGAUUAGUUCUGAUUUAUCCUGUACAUCUCUUUUUUGUACACAGUUAUAUAAACUGAGCUACUUGAAAACA